AAUUCGCAUAUAAAAUGGAACUUAAAUCUUUAGUACAUUCCAUCCAUAGGAGAUAACGUUUGUUAAUACCCGGGAAAACUAUUUGGUGACGAUACUUGUUACAGCCUUUUUUUCCAUUGCCAAUCCAUCACAAAAAAAAAAUAAUUUUUUCGACAACCAUGAAAACCCAAAAAAAACAGACACGGGAUACACACUGAUUAGCGUUUCAGAUUCAUCACAAUUCACAUUAGGCCAAGUUUCAUUGCCAAAAAAAUAAUUUUUUCCAUUGCCAAUCCAUCACAAAAAAAAUAAUUUUUUCUGCUCCUCUCUCUCUCUCUCUCUCUCUGGCGAUUCAAGAACACGAUUUCACAAGAUCUAUGAAGUUUGAACAGAUCGAUGAAGAUUCGGACCUCCCAGAUUCGAUUUCCGGCUUUUAUUGGCGUUUUGCAACAUUCGUCAAAGGUCAUGGUUUAAAGACUAGGUAACGGUUUGAGAAGAGUUCAAGAUCGAGCUAUUGUUUUGUAGUAUGAAGGGGUAUGCAUCUUCCGUCAUAAAUUCUUUCAGGAUCUAUUUGGUAAGCCUUUCUUUCAGAUGGGACAGAAAGGCAUCGACUCCUAUCAUAGCUCUUUCCUUGGAUCGGUUGUUUGCAGGAGAAAGUGAGGAGAAAGUUGUGGUUGUCAAAGGCGAAGUAGAAGAAUAUAAAGAGAAUGUGAGGGCGGUUGUCAAAGGAGGUGGUAUAGUGUUUUGUAGAAAUUAGGGUUUGUAUUUUCGUGAUUUUUGCUAAUUAUGUUGAUUUUGAGAUGGUUGCUGAUACACAUUGAUAGUUAGUGUGUAUUGUUGAUUCCAGUUACCUUGAAAUUAUGUUUUGUAGCUGCUGGUUUUGGUUUUCAGUUAGAAGCGGUUGAUUAGUAUAGACAUGUUGAGAAGAUACUAUCUGGAGAUGGAUCUGGAAGGUUGCAGGAUCGAGUGAAGGAAACGCUAAAGGAGUUUAUGUGGGCUACACAGAUGAUACUUUUGUGCCCGGCCAAGAAUUUCAGGUGCUCCUACUAACAACAAAGUCACUGCGGUCCUUGAAAAGGCAAGCUCAACCCGCCAGGUUUCUCACCUCUCCUUUGCACUAGAGUAAUGGGUCAAAAGAGGCUUAGGUUUAAAUGGGUCAUCUUUUUUUAGUAUGGGAUGGAUUUUUUGUUCAUCUUUUAUUGUAAAGAUUAUUACGUAGAUUACAAUUACAAAUGACAUUGAAUUUUACCUUCUCUAAGUUCGCGUUUGAAAAGAGUUUCAGUAUUGUUAUACGAAACUUCAGUAUUUUUAAGGCACCUGAUUGCAGUUAGGACAGAGUCGUGGCAGAGAAGAUAGGUUUUAUAAUCCGGAAAAAGCGAGAAGAAACCAUCAAAAUCAGGAUCAACUCCGAUGAGCACAAAGUGAUGCCACUCCAAACCAAAAUCUAUGACGUUGCCAGGCCCUGGGGAGGCUGAGAACCGAGUUGUGAAGUCAUUUAAAGAGGCAUUAGCAAAACACAAAUUGGAUCGACGCACUUUAGGUCUUUCAAAAUGUCUGAAGGAGAAAGAAUUGGUGGCACUUGCGGCCAACCAGGACCUUUCUUUUGUGUAUAAUUUAAAACCCAAGCACCACCAAAGGAGACUAUGAAUUGUAUAGGUCAUGGACAUGCUCGGACCAAGUCUUGGGAUGUUUGGAGUUCAUUAGGCCAAUCGCAAGAAGAAGAAAAUUUUGAUGCCAUUGUUGUGCAUAAUAUUUUCUUUUGGUUAAUUA